CACAGGGAAGGAGCCCAGCGUGAUACCAGCAACAAUCCUGAAGAUCAGAUACAAUAUGCCUCUGUGAAUUUGUCGGGAAGCACUAUGAAGCAUCCACGGCCCCAGAGAGAAGAGACUCCGACUUACGCAACCAUCGCGCUGCAGAAGGACAG